CCAAAAGACUGGCGACCGGCGCACGGGUGAGUAACACGUAUCCAACCUGCCGAUAACUCGGGGAUAGCCUUUCGAAAGAAAGAUUAAUACCCGAUGGCAUAAUUAGACCGCAUGGUCUUAUUAUUAAAGAAUUUCGGUUAUCGAUGGGGAUGCGUUCCAUUAGGCAGUUGGUGAGGUAACGGCUCACCAAACCUUCGAUGGAUAGGGGUUCUGAGAGGAAGGUCCCCCACAUUGGAACUGAGACACGGUCCAA
rnacentral:rRNA from 1 species